rnacentral:rRNA from 1 species
UACGGAGGGUGCAAGCGUUGUCCGGAAUCACUGGGCGUAAAGGGCGCGUAGGCGGCUCAUGAAGGCUGUGGUGAAAGUCCGGAGCUCAACCUCGGAUCGGCCGUGGCGACUCGUGGGCUGGAGCACUGUAGAGGCGGGUGGAAUUCCGGGUGUAGCGGUGGAAUGCGUAGAGAUCCGGAAGAACACCAGUGGCGAAGGCGGCCCGCUGGGCAGUGGCUGACGCUGAGGCGCGACAGCGUGGGGAGCAAACAGG